AGUGAACGCUGGCUGUAGGCCUAACACAUUCAAGUCGAACGGCAGCACAGUAAGGGCUUGCUCUUACGGGUGGCGAGUUGCGGAUGUUUGAGAAAUUCAUCUGAAUCUACUUUCUCGUGGGGGUUCACGUAGGUAAACUUACGCUAAUACCUCAUACGACCUACGGGUGAAAGCAGGGGAUCUUCGCACCUUGCGCGAUUGAAUGAGCCGAUGUCGGAUUAGCUAGUUGGCGGGGUAAAGGCCCACCAAGGCGACGAUCCGUAGCUGGUCUGAGAGGAUGAUCAGCCACACUGGAACUGAGACACGGUCCAGACUCCUACGGGAGGCAGCAGUGGGGAAUAUUGGACAAUGGGCGCAAGCCUGAUCCAGCCAUACCGAGUGGGUGAAGAAGGUCUUCGGGUUGUAAAGCCCUUUUGUUGGGAAAGAAAAGCAGCAGGUUAAUCCCCCGCUGUCCUGACGGUACCCAAAGAAUAAGCACCGGCUAACUUCGUG
rnacentral:rRNA from 1 species